UUGGAUUUCUGGUUGGAGCGACCGGUCGGGCAUUGAUUUGUCUGCACUGGAGUCGGUUCUGGCCAUCCUCUUGGAAAGUGCGUCUGUCAUUAAGUUGUCGGGCGUAUGAUCCAGGUCGUUUACUGUGAAAAAAUUAGAGUGUUUAAAGCAGGCCUUCGCCUUGAAUACAUUAGCAUGGAAUAAUAAGAUAGGACUUUGGUCUAUUUUGUUGGUUUGCAGACCGAAGUAAUGAUUAAUAGGGAUAGUUGGGGGUAUUUAUAUUCCAAUGUCAGAGGUGAAAUUCUUAGAUUUUUGGAAGAUAAACUUAUGCGAAAGCAUUUACCAAGGAUGUUUCCAUUAAUCAAGAACGAAAGUUAGGGGAUCGAAGAUGAUUAGAUACCAUCGUAGUCUUAACCAUAAACUAUGCCGACUCA
rnacentral:rRNA from 1 species